AUUACCUAUUUAAUUACAUUCAAUUUUAAUUGUAAUGUUGUUAGAAGUAUGAUAACCUAUAUUCCGAGGUCGUUAGCUAGCUAGGUGUGUAGCAGCGAGCUUUUCUUCUUUGGUCGUCAACGUUUCCCGAAGUAAAGAACUCCACCCCUCUGUUUACCUGACGUCACCAGAAAUAGUACAAAGCGGAAACGGCUUCCAGUGUCAACCUCAACCCAAACCAGGACCUCAACAUGGUUUGGGGAGGCAGGGGCCCAGACAGACCCGUAUCCGGAGUGGCUCAGAGAAUACUGGCAGGCCUUCUUCUAUGGGCUUCCUGUCAAGUUGCUGCCAGCUGUUACUGUGGUUAAAACAAGAUGUUCGUUCAGGGUUAACAGCAAUUCACACAACCUUCAGAUCUUCACUGGUAAGUUGGGGAGUCACAAAGAAACUCCUGCACACUGUCUAACUUGCAAAGUCAAAUUGAAUGGCAAUAUUUCAGAGCUAGACCUUCAUUAGGCAAAUGGUAUGAUGAUGGCACUUUUUUCUACACUACCCUAGGUUCAUCCACAAAAAACUUUACCUUCAUAUGACUGCAGACCUGUAGACUCUUUGUAAAGGGACCUAAUUAAUUAACUAAAUGUCUGCAGACAUGAAAGAUCAAUUUGACUUUUGUUGUUAACACUUAAAGUGAUUAAUUGUUUGUCCAUUUCAUUUUGUGAGUUUUUUAUUAUGUAGAAAUGCAGGAGGAUGAGAGGUAAGGCAGUGAUUUUGCAGUGGCUGUGAAUGAUUUAGCUUGAUUUAGCUUUAUUAUUUUCUUGUGAAAUGUACAGUACGUGAGCUGCUGCUCUUCCUGUUGAAUAGGAAAUCAAAAGAUGCUUUUUAUCAAUGUAAUCAAAAUGAUUGACAUCUACCCCAAUGACUUGUCUUUGGAAAGGCUUCUUUUAGUGAGGGUGAGAUUUGACCACUAAGCCUUUACUAAGAAAAUGUAACUCUCUGCGAUUAUUAAAGAUAGAGGGUACCCCACUUAACAACAAUGCUCCAAUGCAUCUCAAAAUACUGUGAAUCUGCUGUCAAAAUACCCUAAUACAUUGCUUCUUAGUUGAGGAGUAUUUUGUCAAAGUAAAUCAUGCACUAUUCAUUACUUUCAAUAGUCUCUGAUAAUGGGAUGUGGUUGAACCGUCACUAGAUGGGGCUAAAUAUAAAUAUAUAUGCAAUCCAGGAGAGAUUUUACUACCUGUAUUUUCACAGUUGUUUCUCAAACGUGCUUUGAGGAAUGGGCUUUUUCAGCUUCCCCCGGUAUGAUGACAACUUCCACAGCAGCAGCUAUGCUGGAAAGAUGAAGGAAAGGCUUUAGCCAAAGCAGGGGAACUACUCUGUGUUUGACAGAUAUUACAGCCCCCCCCCCCCAUCACCAGCACCCUUUGCUUCGAUCCGGCACGCUCCAGCACUCACUCAAUAAUGACAAUGACCUAUGAGAUUGACCAUAUGUUUGGAAUGAAGCAUUGCCAGUGGUUGAGCUAUGCAGGGCUCCAACCCCCUGGAGGGGUCUCAUCGUAGACCGCUGGAUUUCUGUCCCAUCUGCCUUCGCAAGCUACAGAUUGCUAUCGGCUUCAACAUAGCUGAGAUACAAGACCUUUCUGAACUGGAUGGAGGUGGAUCAGAGUCAAACAUCCAGACCAGAGGAGGCCUCUGCAUGUCAGUAUGUGCUCCACUUUCCAAAACCCACUGAAGGUGUCUGGACAUACUGGGGAAAAAUAUGAACUAUAGUACUCGUCCAUAAAUCAGGAUGUGUUCAGGAAAGAAACCAAACAGCUCUGACUUCUUUAAGAUAACAUUUAAAAAUAUGUGUUUAACAUUUCUGCUACUGUUUGAUUACAAAACAAGGCAGAAUGAAUGCUGAGUACAGGUAAGUAUGUUAUAAAUCUAAAUUAAAGAUGCCAUAUGUACAUACAAUAUUUAUGUGAAAGUGUAUUAAAACAUUUGCCAUAAUUAUGUGACAACUACAAAAGUAGUUGAAUAAGUUGCUUUAAGGUUGGAGUGUACAUAAAUAAAACCAUUAAACAUGA